AUUUGAGUCACUGCAUAUCUUGUUAAAAUGCACAUUCUGAUAUAGUAAAUCUGAGGAGGGGCCUGCGGGUCUGCAUUUCUGACAAGCUCCUAGAUGACACCAUC
rnacentral:pre_miRNA from 1 species